GACGAACGCUGGCGGCGUGCUUAACACAUGCAAGUCGAACGGAAAGGCCUGCUUUCCCUUGUGGAUUGCGGGUACUCGAGUGGCGAACGGGUGAGUAACACGUGAGUGAUCUGCCCCCAACUUGGGUAUAAGCCUGGGAAACUGGGUCUAAUUCCCGAUAGGACUGCAGGGUGGUGCCUGUGGUGGAAAACGAUUUUCUAGUGGUUGGGGAUGAGCUCGCGGCCUAUCAGCUUGUUGGUGGGGUAAUGGCCUACCAAGGCGGCGACGGGUAGCCGGCCUGAGAGGGUGGACGGCCACAUUGGGACUGAGAUACGGCCCAGACUCCUACGGGAGGCAGCAGUGGGGUAUAUUGCACAAUGGGCGGAAGCCUGAUGCAGCGACGCCGCGUGGGGGAUGACGGCCUUCGGGUUGUAAACUCCUUUCGACCGCGAGGAAGCCACCUGGUUGGAAGGGUGGUGACGGUAGUGGUAGAAGAAGCACCGGCUAACUACGUG
rnacentral:rRNA from 1 species